rnacentral:rRNA from 1 species
GAUGAACGCUGGCGGCGUGCCUAAUACAUGCAAGUCGAGCGAACAGAUGAGGAGCUUGCUCCUCUGACGUUAGCGGCGGACGGGUGAGUAACACGUGGAUAACCUACCUAUAAUACUGGGAUAACUUCGGGAAACCGGAGCUAAUACUGGAUAAUAUAUUGAACCGCAUGGUUCAAUAGUGAAAGACGGUUUUGCUGUCACUUAUAGAUGGAUCCGCGCCGCAUUAGCUAGUUGGUAAGGUAACGGCUUACCAAGGCAACGAUGCGUAGCCGACCUGAGAGGGUGAUCGGCCACACUGGAACUGAGACACGGUCCAGACUCCUACGGGAGGCAGCAGUAGGGAAUCUUCCGCAAUGGGCGAAAGCCUGACGGAGCAACGCCGCGUGAGUGAUGAAGGUCUUCGGAUCGUAAAACUCUGUUAUUAGGGAAGAACAAAUGUGUAAGUAACUAUGCACGUCUUGACGGUACCUAAUCAGAAAGCCACGGCUAACUACGUG